rnacentral:misc_RNA from 1 species
GACCAAGUUGCUAUCAUAUGCAACGCUGUUAUUUGGGUUCUAUAUGGCUUGGAAUAUAGGGGCCAAUGAUGUGGCUAAUGCCAUGGGGACUUCUGUGGGGUCUGGAGCAUUAAGUCUCCGGCAGGCGGUUCUAACUGCUGCUAUCUUGGAGUUCUCAGGAGCAUUUUUGAUGGGUACCCAUGUGACCAGUACAAUGCAGAAGGGAAUUCUUGUGGCUAAUGUGUUUCAGGGGAAGGAUACUCUGUUGUUUGCUGGCUUGCUCUCUUCUUUGGCUGCUGCUGGUACUUGGUUGCAGGUUGCAUCAUAUUAUGGUUGGCCUGUUUCUACCACGCACUGUAUAGUAGGAUCAAUGGUUGGAUUUGGUCUUGUCUAUGGAGGAGCUGGUGCUGUCUUCUGGAGUUCACUGGCAAGGGUAACUUCAUCGUGGGUGAUCUCACCGAUAAUGGGAGCAGUAGUGUCAUUCCUUGUCUACAAAUGCAUCCGUAGGUUUGUGUACAGUGCUCCAAAUCCAGGGCAAGCUGCAGCUGCAGCUGCACCAGUUGCUGUCUUUGCGGGUGUAACAGGAAUCUCUUUUGCAGCCUUUCCUCUAAGCAAGACCU